NUCGACCUCAGGUCGGGCGAGAGGACCCGCUGGAUUUAAGCAUAUCACUAAGCGGAGGAAAAGAAACUAACCAGGAUUCCCCCAGUAGCGGCGAGCGAAGCGGGAAGAGCCCAGCGCCGAAUCCCNGGNNCCCCCCNCGGGCCGGAGGGAACUGUGGCGUAAGGAAGUCCGAGCCGCGGCCGGGCGGCGCCGAGGUCCUUCUGAUCGAGGCCCCCUCCGUCCCAUGGCGGGUGUCAGGCCUGCGGGCGCGGCCGGCCGCGGACCAGGGCUUCCGGGAGUCGGGUUGUUUUGUAGCGCAGCCCAAAGGCGGGUGGUAAACUCCAUCCAAGGCUAAAUACCUGCACGAGACCGAUAGAGCACAAGUACCGUGAGGGAAAGU
rnacentral:rRNA from 2 species